rnacentral:rRNA from 1 species
UACGGGGGGGGCAAGCGUUGUUCGGAAUUACUGGGCGUAAAGGGCUCGUAGGCGGCCAACUAAGUCCGACGUGAAAUCCCUCGGCUCAACCGGGGAACUGCGUCUGAUACUGGGUGGCUUGAAUCCGGGAGAGGGAUGCGGAAUUCCAGGUGUAGCGGUGAAAUGCGUAGAUAUCUGGAGGAACACCGGUGGCGAAGGCGGCAUCCUGGACCGGCAUUGACGCUGAGGCGCGAAAGCCAGGGGAGCAAACGGG